rnacentral:lncRNA from 1 species
AACAUAGCUAAUUGGACAAAAGAUGGGAAACUAAGCAAUGCAGCUAAAACAUAGGCUGGUUAGUGACCUAUGAUUGACAUGUUUUGGUAUUAAAAGAGGAUCUGGGUCAAUCAGCAUCUCUCUGUCAGCAAUUUGAAUUAGGAAAACAAGAUAGGUAUCAGUUAGCCGUGGAAGCUAAAGUCAGCAGAAAUGGUCAGAGUCAGACCGUGAUGGCCAUGUGGAAGCUAAGAGUAUAGGGCGGCAGAAACCAUGAAUGAGCAGAAGCUUAAGUGAAUAAAGGACAUAGGGUAGAAGAUGAGGAUUCUGCUGAAGAUACUACAAGAGGAGACACACAAAGAGAUGGAAAGAGUAACAGAGAAUCUUGUCAAUGGUGGAGAUAUUUGACCUUCUGUUGCUGAGAUCUCUGCAGCUGUUGAGCGUCCAGUUUUUGUUUCUAUAUGGCAAGCUUCAUUUGGGUCUUCAUUCAACUACUCAACCACAAAAGUCAGCUGAGCUGGAGAGAAACGGUGAUUCCUAGAAUUCUUCCAAAGCCACUUCUCUUCAUCCUUCACUGACAAUUUGGAUGCAUACUGAAGAGGGCAUGAUGAAAAUCUCUGACCUGGUUUUGCAGUCAUGAGAGGUUUGGAGAGCGGCAAUUAAGAUCUAAACAUUUACUUGAUGUUUCAGUGAAGAAUUUCAACUUUAUGAGCCGCUUAACCAAAGUUAAGUAAUUUUUAUUUACUUUCUUUUUUGGAUCUUUGCAUACACUAACAUAUUGCUGUUUUUUAUAACCUGGCUCGUCAACCUCUGUGCAAGUUCUGAGGAGGUGGGGAGCUUUCCUGUGACCCAUUUUCAUCCUUUGAACCUAGACCAGCAACAGGCGUGCUCGUUAUUGUCGCUAUUUCUAAAAUGCACAAACAUUAUCACCAGGUAAAAGCCAGAUCCAUACCAAUGAAGUGAUCCUUCUACCAAUCAGAAAGUACUUGCCUAAAGUGAAUAUAACCUGACGUGGAAGUUAAAUUGCUGGUUCUGGAGAUGGCAGAGUAGGACAAGUGUGAGUGGAAAUUACAGGGAUGUAGAUUUUCCCUCCAUCUGAGGAAGAGCUUGGCAAUAAGUAGCUGUUGAAUUCCUGCUUCACGAUGGAGAAGGAGUUUCCUGUCUCUUGGAUGGAUUUUCGGGAGUCACAGAAGAGAUUAUUGUAUUGUUAGAUGCUCUAUCCUUCCCUCCCUUCCGUUUUCUCUGUCAUCUGUCUUCCUUUUUCAUCCCUUCCAUUUCUCCCUCCCUUUCCUUCCCUUCCCCCCUCUUCCUACUCACUCCUCACACGUGUAUUAAAUUCCUAUGGAGCAUCAGAUACUUUCCUUCUUAAUGUAAAGGUCUGUAAUCAAGAAUGGUGGAAGGGAAGAGCCUGGGUCCCUGAAGAGAUCACAGAACAGAGCUGCCAUAGCCAUCCUACAUUGCCUCCCUUUAGACCUUUAGGGAGAGAAAAAUAAAAGUCUAU